rnacentral:lncRNA from 1 species
AAUUAAUAAAGGAAAAAUCACUCUCAUUGAAAAACAAAAUACUACACCAUAUGUAGUUACAGACUUAUAGUAUUGUAAAGACCGAAUCAGGUAAAUAGUGUAAGCCUUUUUUAUAAUACUGGCGAUGUAUAUAGUUAAACCCUCAAAAACUUCAUAAUCAAAUAAAUACUAUUUUAUUCAAUAAUAUUUGCAUAAUCCAAAAGGCAAGUUCAUUACUACUAAGAGGAGGUGCCAUCAGAGGGGUUAAUCUUUUUCUUAUCAUUCUUGAAAGUGGACACCACAGCUUUGCCUAGCUUUUCAACAACCAUUUUCUUCACUGACUUCUUAUCUUUCUUUGGAAACACACUUCCAAUAUUCUUUGAUGUGCCUACUUUGCUCUUUCCAUUAUUCUCCAUAUCUCUUCUCUUCUCUUAAAAUAAAAUUAAUUAUGAAUAUGAGCAAGUGUAGUGUAUUAUUGCUUUGUUGCUUUAACUUUUGAUGCUUUGAGGAGUUCAUAUAUAUGUUGAGGUAUUUAUAGGAGUUUAGGCUUUGUUUAUGGUAUUCUUCACAAUGUUUUCAUGUAACUUCUUCAUGAAUUUCUAAGUUGGCUCAUGUAAGAUUUUAAGCACAUUGUUGUAUGUUUCGUGCAAUAUGGAAUGUGUUUGUGUGUGUGGAAUUCAUAUUUAAUUUAUUUAUAUCUCAUAUCUUAUGUUAUUAACAAGUGUGAGCUCAUAUUUGAAAUUCUUUCUGCCUCAAUUUAUAUGAAGAGGUUCAGAAUAUGACGGUCAACAACUUUAAUUUUCUUAUUAAGAAAUUCAGAUAUAAACUGUUCAAACAUUUUAAAAUAAAAUUUAAAAACUACACGAAAUAUUCUACGAGUCAACAUAACUGCUAAUAUUUUCAAAAGUUUGAGAAACUCAUAUUGUUGCACGGGUUGUGUCAUUUGUGUGUGUAUUGGAGGAGGAGUGGGUAAUUUGUGGGUUAGCGUGGGUGUGUGGAUUAAUUAAGAUGACUCCUAUUAAAUUUGACUCAUAAUAAGAUAUGUAGAUAGUAAUUUACAUAACGGAAAAAUGUCCCUACCAUAAUAUUUACAUGAAAAAACAUCUCGACCUCAAAUCAAAGAAACAUAUUAUAACACAUACUCUAAAUAAUACGUAAAGGAUUUUAUUAAUGUAAUAAGCGUGUGGGCCAAAAUCUUCUCAAAUCUUGUUGUGUUCAUUUCCUUUACCGUGUUCUCAUAUUUGUUUGUAUUUUUGUGUUUGUAAGGUGUAAAGGGGAUUUAAUUGUAAUGGAAAAAUUCUUUUGGCCAGAAUUUCGCCAGAGUGAUAAAAUAAUAUAUUUUACACUAUGUUAUUUUAUCUUUUUGAACAUUUUUACCAUUUUAACUUUAAUACCUUUUAAUUAAAAAAUAGAAAAAAGAUUAGUUUAUUUUAAAAUAAAAAAGAUAUUUUAUAGACUUUUUAAAUUUCUGGCCAAAUUCUCUAGUCAUUUAGCAUUACCCGUAAAGUAAAUUUUGUGGAUUAAUUAUUUGUGUUUCUUGAAAACAUAUACCCCCUCCAUUUCAUAUUAAAUAAACAUCUUAUUAAAAAUAUUUGUCUCAGAUUACUCGAUCACUUACUAAAUUAGGAUAAAAUUAAUUAUUUUUUUCUUAUUUUACCCCUAUAAUUAGUAUGGUCGUUGAAAGUUUAAACAAACUUUAAAGACUCAAGAAUUUCUUUUGGCGUGGGAUGAUGUCAUUGGUUCUUUUCUUCUCUUAUCCUCUCGGGAGCUUCAUUUCGGAGUCGACGUUCAAGAGGGUAAUUAAUAUGAACAAAGUAAAAUUAAUCAAUAUAAUAAUGAUUUCUUAAUUACCACGUAAAAUAGAAAGUGCUCAUCUAAUAUGAGACAGAGGGAGUAUCUCUUAUCAUUAUUCUACUAUCACUACAAGAAAACUAUGAAUUAAAUGGGGAUUUUCCUGGGAAUUAGUAUGAAAAUUUGCAGGAAAAUAAGUUUCCUGCGAAUUUUCAUACUAAUCCCCAAGAAAAUCCCAUGUAAUUCACACUUUUUUUGUAGUGUAUCUUAUUCUUCAAUUUUAUUAUAAUUGAUUAUUUCAUUUGCUUCGGUUAUCAAAUUAUUUUUUGCUGCUGCUAUUCUCUUCUCCUUUAUUUUUUAUAUCCACUGUAUUUUCUUUCCAUUCUUAUUUUUUUAUAUAUAUGUUUUACUUGAGGUAAUGCUCUAUCAAAAAUUAAACAAUCUCUUUACUUUCAUAAAAUAAAGACAACUUAAAGUUGUAUUAAUAUUGUGUUAUUGUAUGAAUAGAAGCAUAAAUAAGAUAGUUGGUUUGCUUAGCGUGAUCGUUACAGCCCUUUGGCGUUAUACGAUUGCGAUUUCAAUAUUUAUCUAAAUUUUCACCUCUUAUUAAAAUGAAAAUUUGAGUAUAUUUUUUAGAAAAGAAAAAUUGGGAAAGGGAUUACAAGGCAGAAAAUUGAACCAACUAAUUGAACUAUUAAGAUUUCUCAAAAUUCGAGCACUUCACUUUAGUUUAUAUUUAGAAAUUAACAAUGAAAUUACACUAUUGAAGAGGGAAAUUAACAAAUGGAAACGGAAACGAAAACUCGUGUUACAACUUACAACAUGCUUAAAUGUUUUAAUUAAUAAAGGAAAUAUCACUCUCAUAGAAAAACAAAAUACUACACCAUAGUUUAUUAAAUGAGUUUAAUUUAUAUACAUCAACAAUAUAAUAAAGAAGAUAAACAAUGUAAACAUUAUUCUUUACAAUACUGGAGAUGUAUAUAAGUUAAACCCUCGAAAUACAUUAGAAUCAAAUAAAUACAUUAUUCAAUAAUAUUAGCACAAUCUUAAAAGCAAGUUGAUUAUAGUAAGGGGACUAAGAUGUGCCAUCAGAGGGGUUAAUCUUCUUCUUAUCAUUCUUGAAAGUGGACACCACAGUUUUACCUAUCUUUUCAAAAGCCAUUUUCUUCACUGAUUUCUUAUCUUUCUUUGGAAACACACUUCCAUUGUUUGAUGUGCCUACUUUGCCCUUUCCAUUAUUCUCCAUAUCUCUUCUCUUACAAAUAAAUAAUUAAUUAAAUAUGAGGGAGUAUAGUGUAUUAUUGUUUGUUGCUUUAACUUGUGAUGCUUUGAGGAGUUCAUGUGCUUAGGUAUUUAUAGGAGUUUAGGCUUUAUUUAUGGUAUUCUUCUUAAUGUUUUCAUGUAACUUCUUCAUCAAUUUCUAAGUUGGCUCAUGUAACAUUUUGAGAACAUUGUUGUUAUUUCGUGCAUGGAAUGUGUGAUUGUGUGUGUUUAUGUGUGUGUGUUUGUAAUUCAUAUUUAUUUAUAUCUCUAAGUCUUGUGUUAUUAAAAAGUGUGAGUUGCGCUAAUGGCCAUGAAACUAUUGAUUUAUAAUUAUAAUCUUAUAAUUGUGUGUGUGUGUUGUUUUGGAGUUCGUAUAUUUAUAUUUCUAAGUUUUGUGUUAUUAAAUUGUGCGAGUUCUUAUAGAUGUGGUAAUCACCCCAAUUUUAAUUAUAAUCUAAUUAUUUAAUACUCUUCUGCUUCAAUUUUAUGUGAAGGGGUUCAGAGUUAGUAUGAGGGUUAACAUAUUUGAUUUGAUUAUGAAUUCGAGUAAAGACUCUAUAAGUACUUUAAAAUAAAAUUUAUAAAUUUAAUAAUUACACGAAAAGUACUACAAAUCAACAUAGCUACUAGUUUGUGUGGGUGGGUGGAUUAAUUAGGAUGUCUCCUAUAACCUAUUUAAGCGUGUGGGCCAAAUCUCCUUAAAUUAUUAUUUUUUCAAUUCGUUUAUGUGUCCUGGUGUUAAAGAUGUGAAAUUUUUAAACAAAUUCUGAAAUAUAGAUUGAGAUUAGCUUUAGCAAAUUGCUGUUAGAUGGUAUGGUUAUCACUUGCUAUUGUUUAUCUUUAUUGAUUAGUUGGAAAUGAAGUAAAGAUUAUCUUAUGUUAGUGAUGAGGUUUUUUCUAGUGUUAUAAUAAAGGAGUAUUAGUAAUUUCAAUAGUUCUAAGUUGUUUAUCAUUCUUAUUUAGCCUUCAUUUACUUUUUGGACAUACUUGAGUAUCUGAGAAUUAAAUUGGUAUUCCGGUUAGCCUGAGAUAAUCGUUGUCUAUUGUAAAAUCAAGUACAUGUUUUAUAUUAUGCUCUGUAUAUUUCAUUUUUAAUUCAGUUAAUCAAACAUCUACAAAAAGAAGUAUAUAUAUAUACACUAUAAUCCCCACAUUAUAAUCCUGCGUAUAACUUAUUUUGCGAACCAAACAAACCCUUAGAAACCCUUAGAGUUGGAGGUCAAAAGUUCAGUCUUUCAAACAGUUGCCUUGCUAUGUGAAAUAGGAAGGCUAUUUGCCAAAUGGUUGUACUGCAGUUUGCACCAUCACUUAUAACUGGACAUCAACGUUCAGUAAGUUAACUAUAAGAGGGUGAACUAAAGUGAAGAGUUGAGUCUUGAAACUAGCCUCUUUGUAAUGUAGAAAGUAAGAAUAUACACAGCUGCUUGUCACACAUUUGUUGAGGAGGAAGGGGAUAUAAGUGGUCUUUCACUAAUACUUUUAUCUUAAAGAUGAACUUUAGCGCGAUGGUAAGUUGAGUGUGAAAUGACCUCAAUAUGAAGUAUAUUUUGCAAAAGCACAAUGGUAAAUCUACUGCAGAAAGUAAGUCUUAAUACAGUUGCUUGUAUAAUGGUAAGGUUGUACUACAUUUUGCAUUAAUACUAAUAGCUGAGGCUAAACACAAUGCUAACUUUAUUUUAUGGUGGCUCUGAAGUUGAAGAAAGUUUUAAAAAUAGCCUCCGCAUAGAAUAAAAAGUUAAGGCUAUGUACAGAUUUUUAGUACCAAAAGUUGCACUAACAAUUAAAGGUGAGAUUCAACACAUUGGUGAGUAAGUAUAUGUUGAGGUGAGAACCUUUUUUGGAGGUCUCCAACGUAUCCUAAAUGCUGAGGAAUAUAACAUUACAAGUUUCAAGAAAAAACGUAUAUGUUGAGGUGAGUGGAUGUCAGAAGUUCUCUUGUAGAUAGCCUGGUUGCGGUUCAGAGAGUGAGGCUAUGCACACAUGACCUCUUUUUCAAACCUCAAUAUCUAUCUUGCAAGGAUCCUUUUUACCUCUGGAUAAGGGUGUGAGACUCUUACCACGUUUGGUCAUUCAAACCCUCAUUGAGUCCUCGAGGAAUAUUUUUUUGGAUGAGUGAUUUCGAACACUUCAUUGAUUGUUGCUAUCAUUUCCAAAUUCCAACAGCAUGAUCCAGCAGCUGGGGUUAAGUCUCUCUUCUUUUCAUUUUUAUUUUUUUAUUUUUGAAGGAAGGGAAAUAUCGUGAAGCACUUGGGAAGUGGGAAUCUGCUCUGCUUUUGAUGCCAGAUCGUGCCAUUCUGCAUGAACAGAAGGCUCAAAUUUUGCUUGAACUUGGAGAGACAUGGAAGGCGCUACAAGCUGCUACUCGUAUGUUUUGAUACUCACAUUAAUUCGAAUGAAAUUCUCCUCAUUUCCUGAGCAAAUUAUGCUGAGAUAAUGUCAAUUCACAAACAUAUUUUACUUGGAUUUAUUUUCAAUGCUAUAUCUCAUUAAAGGUUAUGCACCUACUUUUAGGCUCUGAAGCUUCUUAGUGCCUACUUUUGACUCAUCUUUAAGGUUAUGGACAAAUCUGGCAAAUAUAUCAUUUCAAAUAUGAUCUUGAUAACAGCCAAAUGUGGGAACCUAGAGCAAGACUAAGUUUAUUUUUUACUUAUCUUUUCCUUGGCAUUGGAAGAUUUUUCUUUUCCACAUUCUUCCUGUUGUAAAUCUAUAUCUGGCAUAUAGAUAUUCAAAGAUGGAUUUUAGCCUACUUUCAUGGUCACUAAUGCCCUCUUGGCAUAUAGAUAUUCAAAGAUGGAUUUUAGCCUACUUUCAUGGUCACUAAUGUCCUCUUAAGUCAUUGAUCUGUGUUUGUGUAUAAAAUAACUUCAGAUGAUAUAUUUCAUGACUCAUAUGUAACCUGCUUCCUGUUUGAGCAGGUGCAACUGAGUUGGAACCAAGCUGGGGUGAGGUGUGUGUGAAACUGUUGAUCAUUCGGUUUUACUAUUGUUUCACCUGUUGUUAAUAUACCUGCUUUAGGCAUGUAAACGCAACUCUUAGUGCUCUGCAAUAAUUGGGAACCCUCACCAUCCUUGCUUAAUAUCAUGGGGGAUCCUGAUGAACAAUGUAACAUAUUUUUUAUCUGUGAUCUAUUCAGUUUCAAUACUUCUAAGACUAAUUUGUCAAACUUCAACUGGCUAUAAGUGUCAUGGGCUAGUUUUCAUGUGCAAAGUCCUCUGGAUUUCAGCCUUAAUUGUUCACCCCAAUGUGCAUGUUACUUCCUUUCUGUUCUACCUCUUCCUGCAUCUAUUCCCUAGACUAGGCAAAUUCAAUGCUUCUAUGUCUUCACUUGGUAAUAAAUUACUGGCUUUAGAGGUUAAGAUAGGUAAUUAGUGGUGUACCGACAAGCUACCUCAUGAUAGAAGCAGCUUUGCACUUUGAACUUCCUGGUCAUACUUGCGUGCAUAGUUAAGCUUAGAGAGCUUGAUGGAAUGAUCAAGCAAAAGGCACUCUCUUUUUCUAUUCCGUUUCCAUAAUCCAAACUAUUUACAGCUUUGGAAAAUGAAGCUUAGACUAAAAGGCAGUUGACUGCAAGCUUCUGGUUCUUAGGGAACGGUCAAUUUCUACUAUCACUAGAAUGUACACUACUUUAUUCCAGUGCUUAUUGCUAGUUCUUCUGUCUGUUGCAGGCGUGGGUCACCCUUGGUAGAGCACAGCUGAAUUAUGGUGAGCCUGACAGUGCUAUAGAAAGCUUAGACAGAGCACUAGCCAUCAAGGUAUAGAUUAAAUUUAUAACUAAUGCUCACGCUUGCUUCUUCUGAGGAUCUUUUUUAACUGAGAUGUUUCCUUUAUGAGUAAAUGGAUAUUCUUUGCUUUUAAUGUAUUACGCCAAUACCAAAGGUCAAUAUUACUACCUUUGUAUCUGGAGGACAAACUGUCUUUUGAGAUUUAAGCAAUUGUCUAACUCUAUUCAUCUUGCUUCUAUCACAUCCUAGUUCUGAAAUGUUCAGUGGAAUAUUGUGCUAAGUGUGUCAGAUUGAUUGCCUUUGUAAUUGAUGCUCACGUGUUCAGUAAACCACUUACGCACCAUAAAUCGGAUUUGUUUUGCAGCCAGACUCUGCUGAGGCUCGUAAUGAUCGACAAGCUGCCUUGCAUCAUAUUUCAGAGGAGUAAAAACAGUUACAGUACAUUCAGGUUUGAGCAUGAACCAACACCGUUUUUCUGUAGGGGACCAAACUGAGAGCACUUGAAGGUUUGAAAACGUAGGGUUAAUCUCAUUACCGAUGAUGCUUUGUUCCGAUAAAAUCCUGAGGCUAGGGAAUAUCUUCUGUCACAUUUGACUUCGAGUCAAGGUUUCAAAAUGCUGGUUCAGCUAUAGAAAGAGGUGUAGGUGUGCAUAUCAGUGAGGAGAGAAAAUAGCCAGAAGGGUUGACAAUGAUGAAACAUGAUGCCUGGGCACUGAAAUGUCUACUUGUAAUAUAGAUGAUCCUCUAUGGCCUCUAACAUUGAGUUACUUCAUACUUAUGUUUGUUUGAUUAUUCUGAUUAGUAAUAUAUAUAUAUAUAUAUAUAUACACACACGUCCUGGUGUGCAAAUCAAGUGAAUGACGUUUUUUACGUUCAAAAAGUGCAUCUGAUUUGUCUUUUUACCUUAGAGGUGAACGAUCAAAGGUGUAAAAUAUGCUUUUUAAAUGGAGCAGUCUGAAUGCUUGUUCAGUUUAUAAAAUCAAUGUCAUGUUGUGUCUAUUUUACCAUUGCUAUUAAAUAUUGUAUUUAUUUUUCAAUGUUUAGAUAACUUAUAUUUAAUAAGGGUGAUUUGAUAAAAUUACCCUAUCAUUUACUGCUUUUUAAUCUCUGUGCUAAGUUAAUAUAGUGGACAACUAUUGUUGAACACAUAGGGUGUGCGUAUAUAUGUGUGUUUUUGAUUGGAUGGGAAUGGGUUUGUGUGGGUUUGUGUGUGAAUGAGUGAAUUAAUUUUGGUUUUUUCUAUUUAUUAAUUUCAAUUAACGACCUAUGAAAUUGUUAUAUAUAUAUAUAUAUACAUUUCUUGGAAAUGAAGUACUCCAUAUUACUCAUGAUAUUAGCUUAAAAUUUAAAAAAUUAAAUUUAACCACUACUAAGGAUUUGGAAGGGGAAUUCAUUAUAUUUAAGUUUUAUUAACUUUCAAACUUAUUAAUUUUAUAGAAUUAAUCAAAUGGUAAAUUAAUUUUACUUUUCUGCGUCAUUUCAGUUUUCACUAUCUUCAUUUUCAUAUAUAAUUUUUUUAUAUUUUUUGAGGGGGAAAUGUGUCCCUAUAAUAAUUUUACAUGAAAAAUAUCUUAGAGCUCAAAUCAGCUAGAUAUAUUUAAAAGAUUUAUUAAUGGCACAAAAGAAAUUCAUGUCAAUAAUAUUAGAUUUAAUUAUUCAGAAAUUUGAGGAUAAGCACUAAAAUUGUUGAUUCAACUUCAACUUUUCAUGUCUAUACAUUAAAUUGCUUGAAUACGUAUAUGGCAUCAUUAAUUGAAAAUGUAUCCAUUCAACACACGUUGUUUCCAUGGCUCACAUCUCUUUUUGAGAGAGUGAAAUAAAAAAAAUAUUUAUUUUUCUAAAUUUAUAUUUUGUAUACCACGUCCGAUAAAUUUUCCUCUCCGCUUUACCUCGCAUGACAAUUUUUUUUAAUUUUCAAUCCGACCCACCUUACCCCGCAUAAUUGUUUCAAUAUUUUUCCUUUUUGAUUAAGUUUGACACAAAAAAUAAAAUUCAUAAAAAUAAAUUUAUUACUCUCAUUAAGUUGUAUUAACUUAAUAAAUAGUGACUUGAUUUUUUUUAGAGGUCAAUUAAAAAGCAUGUAAGAAACUGUAUUAGUUUUGAUUGAACUAUUUUCAUUUAAUAUCUUCAAUAUUUUACUUAGGAGAAAAUAGCCAAAUACCCCCUUAAUCUAUUACCAGAUUACCAACUACACACUUAUACUUCACGAGAACCACUUUCCUUUUUAGUCAGUCUCAAAAAGAAUAACACAUUUUCUAUAUUAAGUAACAAUUUAACUAUAAAAUGUCUAUUUUACCCUUAAUGAAAUGAUUUACAGCUACACAAAUUUCUAUCAUUCAUUUUGGACCACAAGUUUUAAAAGUCUUCCUUUCUUUCUUAAACUCUGUGCUGAGUCAAACUACCUCACAUAAAAUGGGACGGAGGGAGUAAUGAAUUUGUCAUUUUGUGUAUUCUUACUUGUGAAAGGUGCUCUAUCACUCUUAUAACAUGUAAAAAGUUUAAAUUAAGUUUGAACCCGUAUAAAACCGCAUAGACCCGCAACUUGCCCCGUAUUAAUUUAAAAAAAAUUAUUUCAACAUGUCCCGCACAACCUUAAAAUCACCUCACCCCACAUUCGCCCCGUUGUCGUCCCCGCAGAAAAGGUGAAAGUUCAAAUAGGAAAUCAACUUAGCUACUAAAAUUCUCCAAAAUUUGAGUGCUCCACGUUAGUUGUUGUUUUUAAAAAAAAGAAGAAGUUAACAACGCAAUAACACGAUUUAAAGAGUAAAAAUAAUAACCAAAAACGGGGACUAAUAUUACAACAUACAACGUCUUGAAGGAUAAUUAACAAAGGAAAUAUCACCCUCACAAAAAUAACAUAAUAGUACUACACAAUAAUUUAUUAAUGAGUUUAACUUAUNNNNNNNNNNNNNNNNNNNNNNNNNNNNNNNNNNNNNNNNNNNNNNNNNNNNNNNNNNNNNNNNNNNNNNNNNNNNNNNNNNNNNNNNNNNNNNNNNNNNNNNNNNNNNNNNNNNNNNNNNNNNNNNNNNNNNNNNNNNNNNNNNNNNNNNNNNNNNNNNNNNNNNNNNNNNNNNNNNNNNNNNNNNNNNNNNNNNNNNNNNNNNNNNNNNNNNNNNNNNNNNNNNNNNNNNNNNNNNNNNNNNNNNNNNNNNNNNNNNNNNNNNNNNNNNNNNNNNNNNNNNNNNNNNNNNNNNNNNNNNNNNNNNUCUGGUUGAAUUUCUAUGUAAUUAGCUUAUGUAUAAUGUGUGAGUGUGGGUAUAAUGUGUGAGUGUGGGUUUUUGGAUAUUUUUAUCUAAGGCUAACAAAGAGAGAAUGAAAAUUUGAAGUAAAAAAAAUAAAUAUAGUUGAAUGAUUUUGUUGUCCAAAUAAAAAGACCAUCCAAGAAAUUAACUCUUGUUUGUGUAGUUGAGCCAAGGAAACUACCUAUUAAUUUUUCAAGUUAAAUAAUUACCAAAAACUAAUUUUUAUUUUAUUUUUUUCUUGAAAUGGAAUGUGUGUUUUGUGUGGUUUUGGUUUGUUCAUUUUAAUAUUUGUGAAGUCAUAUGUGUAGAUGAGCCAGUAAAGUAGGAAUUUAGUUUUUUCAUGCGAACUUAAAUUGUUGAAAAUGUCGUCUGUGUGUUGGAAGGGUAAUGGAUUUGUGUGGGUUUGUAAAUUAAUUAUGAUGACUACUAUAUUAAAAAAAAUAAAAAAUCAUGUGAUUGUCAUACAUUUCUAGGAAAUGCUCAAGUACUCCGUAAUACUUAUGAGUUAUGAUAAUAGUUUAUUUCAAAAAAAUACUUAACCAAUCAAAAAAAAAAUUAUUUUACUUUUCCAUGUAAUUUUACUAUCUUCAUUACCAGAAAUUCUAUACUAUUUUUUUCUUGUAAAGGAAGUAUGUCUAUCAUAAUCUUACAUGAAAAAAAGUUAUUAUUUCUACUAUCAAAAUUUAUAAACAGAAAUGAAAAUAAUCAAAGAAAAAUAAAGUUUCAAGCCUACAGAAUAUUGUAUUUUCUUAAAGAAUUUAAUUUCUUUAUACUUGUCCAAGAUUUGGAAUAAUAUCUUCCAAAAUAAAAUAAAACACUAUUUAGCAAUACUGGUAAUUGAUAUUGUAGAACUUCAGUGAAAUUCAAAAAACGAAGUAAAUCAUAUAACACUUACUGUUUUUACUUGAAAAACUUAUGCAAAUAAAAAAGAAAGAAAUAUAAGAAUUCUUUCUGCUUUUAGUAAUAAGAAAAUUUUGUUUUUCAAUGUGUCAAAUAAGGCGAAGUCAUAGCCAUCGACAAAUGCGAAGGUGACGUUGGAAAGGGAGGUAAUUUUGAAUCGUCUCUCUUUAAAUAGCUAAAAGAAGUAUUUCUAUUUAAAAGCACAAAAAAUCUCUUCUUCAGUACCACCGAUAAAGAAGAAAUGAACUUUAUUUUCCUCUUAACUUAUUUUCUUCAAUUUCUCAAUUCACAUUAUAACUCAUCUUUCGACAGUUAACUAGCUUGUUUUAAAAAAUGUUACUCAUCUUUCGACGGUUAACUAGCUUGUUUUAAAAAAUGUGUGCUAGCUUGAUGUCCCCUGAAUUUUGUUACUACUUACUAUAUUGAUAAUUUUCAUUGCUAUUUUAUAUAUUGAUUUCUUAAUAUUGCGUUGUUGCGUAUGAAAUACAAAUAUCGAUAAGAUAACCAAAAAAAUUUUAGCGUGUGUAAGUGUUUCCUUUGGCAUUAUAGAAUGUGAUUUCAUUAUUUACCUUAAAUUUUCACCCUAUUUGAAAAUAAAAAUGUUAGUAGUCCACUUUAGUUUAACAUUAAAUAAAAUGAACAACGGUGUAACAUUAUUGGGGAGGAAAAUUAAAUAAAUGAAAAUGGAGACUCUAUAACAACAUACAACGUCCUUAGCUUGUAGGCUAAUUAACAUCACAAAAAUAACAUAAUACUAAACAAUAAUUUAUUGAUGAAUUUAGCUUACAUGCAUCAACAAUAUCGUAUGUAAGGAAUCAGGUAAAUCAUGUAAACAUUCUUUACAAUAUUGUCAAUGUAUAUAAUUUAAACUAUCGGAUACAUAUGAAUUACAUAAAUACUUUAUUCAAUAAUAUUACCACAAUCCAAAACAAAAACAAGUUCAUUGGGACUAAGAGGAGGUGCCAUCAGAGGGGUUAAUCUUUUUCUUAUCAUUCUUGAAAAGUGGACACCACAGUUUUGCCUAUCUUUUCAAUAGCCAUUGCCUUCACUGAUUUCUUGUCUUUCUUUGGAAACACACUUCCAUUCUUUGAUGUGCCUUCUUUGCCCUUUCCAUUAUUCUCCAUAUCUUUGUUGAUAAUAUAUAUAUAAGUAAGUAAAUAAAACUGUAUCGUUCUUUGUAACAACUUAAAUUUUUAGAUGAAAUGAUCACACAGUACUUCAACAAUCUCUUCUCUUAGAACUUAUGAAUAUGAGGAAGUGUAUUAAUGUUUUGUUGCUUUUAAUUUGUGAUGUUUUGAGGAGUGCAUAUGUUGAGGUAUUUAUACGAGUUUUGAGGCUUUUGUUUAUGGUCAUGAAAGUUUUCAUGCAACUCUAGUUGAAUUUCUGAGUAAUUAGCUUAUGUAAGAUUAAUUAAAAAGAAGAUUGUUAAUUAUUUCUUGCAUGGAAUGUGUGAGUGUGGGUGUUUGGGGUUUGAGUAAAAAAAAAAUUGUUGUAUGAUUUUGUUGUGCAAAUAAUAAAAAAAAGUUAUAGUAUGUUAUUUUCAUUACUUGAGAUGACUAUCCAAGAAAUUAAGUCUUGUUUGUGUGGUUGAGCCAAGGAAACUACGUAGUUAUCUUGUUCAAGCUAAAUUACCAAAAACUAAUUACUAUUUUAUUUUUCUAAUUCUUGCAUGGAAUAUGUGUUUAUGUGGGUGUGUAAUUUCGGAUUGUUCAUUUUAAUGUGAAGUCAUGUGUGUUACUAAGAAAUUGUGUGUGUCGAUGAGCUAGGAAACUAGGAAAAUUAAUUUCAUGCUAAUUUAAAUUACUAAGAACUAAUUUUCUAUAUAGUUUAUUUAUUUAUAUUGCAUGGUUGUGUGUGUGUUGUUGGGGUAAUAGGUUUGUGUGGGUUUGAAGAUUAAUUAGGAUGACUUCUAUUUAAUUUGUUAUACGUUUAUAGGAAAUGUCCAAGUAGUACUCCGUAAUACUUAUGAAAAUAGUUUAUACAUUUCUAGGAAAUGUUCAAUUUAUUUUAAAAGAAUACUUAACCAAUUAAAGAGAAAAUUGAUUUAUUUUUCCAUGUAAUUUCACUAUCUUCAUUACUAGCGCAUCGUAAUUUUUUUUAUAGGAAGCAUGUCCCUUUCAUAAUCUUACCUGGAAAAGUAUCUUAAAUCUCAAAUAAUCAGCUAGCUAGCUAGAUGUGUUUUAAAAUAUAUAUUAAUGGCAAAAAGAAAUUAAUAAGUAAGUAAUAUAAGAUUUAAUAAUUUCGCAAAUUCAGGGAUAUGCGCACUCAAAUUAUUGAUUUCAACUUCAUUUUUUCAUGUCUAUACCUUUUUCUUGAAAACUUUAUGCUUAAUACAUAGAAUACCUUUUAAAAUUAACAAUUUAUGUAAUUUCUGGUUGAAUUUCUAAGUUAGUUCAGGUAAGAUUGAGAGAACGGGUGUGUUUGGUAUGAAGUUACAUAUUUUUCAAUUUUCUCAUUAUUGGUUCAAUUUGGGAUCAAGAUCGGGGAUAGGGAUCAAGUCGAUGUUAACAUCAACGUCAUUGGGUGUCGGGUCGCGACUGGGGUCGGUGUUCAAAUCCUGGGCUAGAGUUAGGCUAGGGUCGAGUUGAGAGUCAAGUUCUACGGUGGGAUUGAAUCAAUAUAGAGGAUUGGGGCUAGGAUCGUGUCUCGGGUUGGUAUUGGGGUCAAGUUGGGGUGGAGACACCUGUUCAAGUUUAUGUUAAGACUGGGGGUUCGAGUUAUCAUUUAGACAUUUUGAAUUUGUUGCCUCAACAUUUCCUCGCGGUGACAGGGGGACCCUUCAGCGUUAUAGGAUAUAGUGAUUUCAAUAUUUAUCUUUAAAAUGCUCACUUCAUAUUAAAAUAAAAAUUUGAGUUCUUUUUAAAAAAAAUAUAUAUAUAACGAGGAUAGGGAAUGAGGAAGGAGAAAUUGUUGGGUUUUGGGUUUUUUUUCCCUUCCUAUGUAGAUAAAUAAAAGUCCAAGGUUUUAGUUCUUUCCUUUGUGGAUAAAUUUAGCACAAAUUUGACUAACUCACUUUUACCCAUAAGCCCAAUAUUAUGGUACAUAUGUAAGACUUUAUUUUUAGGUCUUAUUUUGAAGAAUCACUAGAGAGUGAGAGCAGCCAUAUAGAGAGAAAAGUGAGAGAGUGCAGAUUUUCGCACAAGCCCUAGCAGCCAAUUUCAAAUUGCGAUUCCCGCUUAGUUUCUUAUACGAUUGAGCUAGUUUUUGGAUAGCUUAUUCCUUUCAACUUAAUCUUUGAUUGGAAACUGAGAGAGGGUGACUUGGUGUCCUGUAGCUCUAGAUUUUUGCUCGUGAACAGUAGCUGAGUAUUUGGUGUUUUUGCUUCUUUUAUUUCUCUAGUUUUUGGUGCUUUCUUGUAGUUGUGUUGCUCAUUGUUCGACACUUUGUUGGUGGACAUUUUGGAGAACACUUUUGUAACUCUUGUUGAUUUUAGAGGAGCUUUGGCCUUGUGAUUUUUACUCUUCACACAGAAGAGGUUUUCCACGUUAAAUUUGGUGUCUUGUGUGUUGAUUUAUUUUGCUUGCUUGGUUGAUUUAUCUGCUGCCCCAAACAGUAUUUUUCUUGCAUUAUUUUGUCUUCUCUUGGUUCAAAUAGAAGGGAAAGUUUUGACUUGAGUUUUUUUUCCGCUAUUGCCCUGUCGUGCACAUUUAUUUUGUGCUUGCCUUUCCCAAUAGAAAUGAGAGAAGGAUUAUAAUUAAGGUCGGAAAAUCGAACCUCAAGUAAAAGUUCAGAUAAUCAAUCAACUCAAUAUGUAUGUAAUAAGACUCCCCGAAAUUCAAGUACUUCACUUUAGUUUAAAUUGAGAAAUUAACAACGGGAUAGCACUAUAGAAGAAGAAAACUAACAAACGGAAACGAAGACUCAUGUUACAGUUGAUAACAUUCCUGAAGGUUAAUUAAUAAAGGAAAAAUCACUCUCAUUGAAAAACAAAAUACUACACCAUAGUUACUAAUGAAUUUAACUUAUAUACAUCAACAAUAUCAGAUAAAUAAUGUAAGCAUUAUUCUUUAUAAUACUGGCGAUGUAUAUAAGUUAAAACCCUCGAAAAGCUUCAGAAUCAAAUAAAUACUAAUUUAUUCAAUAAUAUUAGCAUAAUCCAAAAAGGCAAGUUCAUUCAUUAUAGAUAUGGGACUAACUACUAAGAGGAGGUGCCAUCAGAGGGGUUAAUUUUUUUCUUAUCAUUCUUGAAAGUGGACACCACAGCUUUGCCUAUCUUUUCAACAGCCAUUUUCUUCACUGACUUCUUAUCUUUCUUUGGGAACACACUUCCAAUAUUCUUUGAUAUGCCUACUUUGUCCUUUCCAUUUGUUCUCCAUAUCUCCUCUUAGAAAUAAUUAUGAAUAUGAGCAAGUGUAGUGUAUUAUAUAUUGCUUUGUUG